UUGCCCAUAGCUCAGUGGUAGAGCAUCUGCUUUCCAGAAGAAGACCCCAGGUUCAAUCCCUGGUAUUCACAGGUAAG